rnacentral:rRNA from 1 species
UACAUAGGGCGCAAGCGUUAUCCGGAAUUAUUGGGCGUAAAGAGCUCGUAGGCGGUCUGUCGCGUCUGCUGUGAAAACUCAGGGCUUAACCCUGAGCUUGCAGUGGGUACGGGCAGACUAGAGUGCGGUAGGGGAGACUGGAAUUCCUGGUGUAGCGGUGAAAUGCGCAGAUAUCAGGAGGAACACCGGUGGCGAAGGCGGGUCUCUGGGCCGUAACUGACGCUGAGGAGCGAAAGCAUGGGGAGCGAACAGG